rnacentral:rRNA from 1 species
CGGCCCAAAUUCCUACGGGAGGCAGCAUUAGGGAUUUUCGGCAAUGACGAAAGUUUGACCGAGCAACGCCGCGGAAUGAAGAAGGUUUUCGGAUCGUAAAACUCUGUUGUUAGAGAAGAACAAGGAUGAGAGUAACUGUUCAUCCCUUGACGGUAUCUAACCAGAAAGCCACGGCUAACUACGUGCCAGCAGCCGCGGUAAUACGUAGGUGGCAAGCGUUGUCCGGAUUUAUUGGGCGUAAAGCGAGCGCAGGCGGUUUCUUAAGUCUGAUGUGAAAGCCCCCGGCUCAACCGGGGAGGGUCAUUGGAAACUGGGAGACUUGAGUGCAGAAGAGGAGAGUGGAAUUCCAUGUGUAGCGGUGAAAUGCGUAGAUAUAUGGAGGAACACCAGUGGCGAAGGCGGCUCUCUGGUCUGUAACUGACGCUGAGGCUCGAAAGCGUGGGGAGCAAACAGGAUUAGAUACCCUGGUAGUCCACGCCGUAAACGAUGAGUGCUAAGUGUUGGAGGGUUUCCGCCCUUCAGUGCUGCAGCUAACGCAUUAAGCACUCCGCCUGGGGAGUACGACCGCAAGGUUGAAACUCAAAGGAAUUGACGGGGGCCCGCACAAGCGGUGGAGCAUGUGGUUUAAUUCGAAGCAACGCGAAGAACCUUACCAGGUCUUGACAUCCUUUGACCACUCUAGAGAUAGAGCUUCCCCUUCGGGGGCAAAGUGACAGGUGGUGCAUGGUUGUCGUCAGCUCGUGUCGUGAGAUGUUGGGUUAAGUCCCGCAACGAGCGCAACCCUUAUUGUUAGUUGCCAUCAUUCAGUUGGGCACUCUAGCAAGACUGCCGGUGACAAACCGGAGGAAGGUGGGGAUGACGUCAAAUCAUCAUGCCCCUUAUGACCUGGGCUACACACGUGCUACAAUGGGAAGUACAACGAGUUGCGAAGUCGCGAGGCUAAGCUAAUCUCUUAAAGCUUCUCUCAGUUCGGAUUGCAGGCUGCAACUCGCCUGCAUGAAGCCGGAAUCGCUAGUAAUCGCGGAUCAGCACGCCGCGGUGAAUACGUUCCCGGGCCUUGUACACACCGCCCGUCACACCACGAGAGUUUGUAACACCCGAAGUCGGUGAGGUAACCUUUGGAGCCAGCCGCGUAA